rnacentral:lncRNA from 1 species
GGCGUCGUGAGGGAGGAAGCGGGCAGUGCGUUGCUUCGUGCGUGGCUCAGUGCCUUUCUUUCUUCUGGUGUGCCUCCCGCCCGGUUAGCGCCUAUCUGCUUCUCUUAGAGCUGCUCUUUAAGUCUUCUUGUCUCUGGGUUGUCCGGACGGGGCGUCGCCCCGCAGGGUUGCCUCAGUUUGGGCGGGAAGCGCGGCCUCUGGAGCGCCUCACAGCGCUGUGGGCGGGAAGCACCGGUCUGGGGGCGAUGCUGGGCCGCCGGGACCCUCACGCCAUCCCAGAGCUGUGUUUGGGACAAACGAGCCCUCAGCUCACCGAGUCCUGCCCUGUGAGGCACCCCGGGCCUGGUGCUGCUCUCUGUGGGCGCGUUGGGCCGUGCUCGGCCGCGCUGCAGGGCUGUGUGCAGGCAGCCUGUCGCAGCCGGUGCAUGGUGCUGUCCUGUUGGGUUACCUGUGUGUCAGGAAACACAUCUCACCCACCUCACGUUGGUGCUUUGUGGCUAGCUCUGAUUUCUGGAGCUGGACAACGAGCUCCUGACAUGGGUUUCUGCUGAGUAAGUGUGGCUAUCAAAGCAAACCCGUGUCCCACAGCAUGGUGGCUGUUACCUGUGUGGAGGCAGUGGCUGCUCUGGGGCCUGUUCCUUGUGUGCUCAGCCUGUGGUGGGAGUGGGGCAGGGCUUCUGUUCACUGGGAUGUUGCUCAGUGCCUCAGAGCAACCCAGUUUCAGGUUAAUGCAAGUCUUACCUAAUACUCAGCCUACUCACGGGGCUAUUGGGUUUAUUUCGAGCUUUGUGCCAGAUGAUAUGUGCAGAAACGGCUCUCUUGCCCCUCUAGUUCAGGGAGGUUGUGCUUGGUCUUUGCAGACAUCAGCUAGUUACAGAGAGUUUCACCCCCAAGGGCUGGUGCACUGCUGCCUGUUUAUUAUAAAACAUCUUUUCCCAAAACGCCCAGUGGUUGUUCAGGGGUCAGCAUUGCUGUGAGGCGAGCAAGGAAGCUGCAGAGCGAACUGGCUCAAUUCAAGAGCCCAGAGCAGAGCUGGCAUUUUCAUGGGAUGCAUUUGUCACAGGAGGUCCUGCUGGCUUUCUGUGCCUGCAGGGUGCCGUGUUUUAAUUAAGCGACUUUCCUUGUUUCUUAACUGCUGCUCCUUUUCUGUUUCAGAGCUUUAGCCAGUGGAGAUGGCAGGGACCUCGGACCAAGUUGGAUGUGGCAGCCAAGCUGUGAGGACACAGGCAGGUGUUUCCUCCAGACAUUUGCUGGAGCAGAGUGAACUGUAUGGAGGCAGAUGCUCUUCACCUUCCCCUCUCCACACCUGCCCAGAUGUUGCUCUUUCAACCAUCAGCACACACCGCAGGAGGUCAAAAAUGUGUGACGAGGACAUCAAGGGACAUUUCACGCUCUUUGUGCCCAUGCAGGGUUUGUCUGGAGCUGCAUCUCAGUAAUGAGCCUGCUGGCAAUCCACUGCUUUUGAGCAGUGACAGCCUGGUGUCACCCUCCCUGUCAAGGUGAAGAGUUCCUGCUGUAUUUGGGAUCCUGCAGUGAAGAAAAACCCCUGCUCAACGCUCUCCUCCACGUUUCUUAGUUCACCAAGCCAGUGCACGUGUUGGAGAUGGCUGUUUGAGUCUGCUUCAAGUGUUGCCAUUAGGUACAAGAGUCAACAUCCCUUUUCUUUCCCUGCUAACUGUCCCUUGGCCGGCCCUGAUCUUCCACACUGAUUAGUUCUCACUUAAACAUCCAGGAGCACAACACUAAGAGGAUUUUGCCAUGGCAGGUUAUCCCCGUGGCAGGGAAGAUGCAAAGCUUCCUUAGCAGUCCUGAUGCGUGCAGUGAUUUCCAUCACAGAAGAGCAAUAAGGAGCAGGGUGACCAGCAUCCUGCUGCCCCUCCCUGUGCAACCCCCACUCCUUUUGCAGGUGAUGGCUGCAGAUUGGGGUUCUUGCACAGAAUUGCCUGUGAGGAGGUGUUCUCCUGCCCCAUGACCACCCUGUGGUUGAGAGGUGACGGAAGGACCACACCAUCCCAGGGAUGCUCUGGUACUGGAAGUGGCUUUUAUUUAGGAGUUGUGUUGGCUUCUCACAAUUUUCUCCUAGGCAAAAGGAUCGUUUUCAGCUUUCAGAGAACUGUAACCAAAGAACAUUUGGGGUUUUCUGGUUCCCCAGAAUAAAACAAUUCCAACCCCUGUAAAAGGCUCAGCCUUUUCAGUCCUCUCCCACCUCUAGCCCUCCAUGGAAAGGCUGUGAAGCCAGCCUUCCCACAGGAGGUAUCCCGUAGCCCACAGGGCUGCAAAUGUGACAUGAGUUGCUCUUGUGUCACCCCACAGCCCUCCUCUGUCCUGGAACCCCUCCCUGCCAGCCCUCCUGUGGGCAGGAAAUCACACCCAGAGAUCUGCAUUUCUCAGGAAAGGGCGAAAAUGCCACAAAGGUGAGAAUGUGGCCAAAU